rnacentral:lncRNA from 1 species
AUUGAGGACAUUGGAUUGGUUGCAUUUCUACGCUUAUGCAUGUCUUACACAUCCAUGUACAUUCAUGUUAUAGUUGAUUUAUUACUUAUGCAAAUCGUGCUAAGUGGAGACUCUAUGUUAUAGUAAGUUAUAUUUCACUUACCGUUUAAUUAUUACAUUGUUAGUCACUGACCUCUUCUUGUAGCUUUUGGGCCUUGUGGCGCAGUUCACUGAAGUCAGUAAUUGCCCACUGGGAACUAUUUUUAAUAGUUCUCAC